GACAGAGGGUGCAAACGUUGUUCGGAAUUACUGGGCGUAAAGCGAGUGUAGGCGGUCUAGUAAGUCAGGGGUGAAAGCCCAGAGCUCAACUCUGGAAUUGCCUUUGAGACUGAGUGGCUUGAGUACGAGAGAGGUGAGUGGAAUUCCCAGUGUAGAGGUGAAAUUCGUAGAUAUUGGGAAGAACACCGGUGGCGAAGGCGGCUCACUGGCUCGUAACUGACGCUCAUGCACGACAGCGUGGGGAUCAAACAGG
rnacentral:rRNA from 1 species